rnacentral:rRNA from 1 species
UACAGAGGUCUCAAGCGUUGUUCGGAUUCAUUGGGCGUAAAGGGUGCGUAGGUGGUGCUGUAAGUCAGGUGUGAAAUCCCGGGGCUCAACCCCGGAACUGCACUUGAUACUGCAGUGCUUGAGGACUGGAGAGGAGAUCGGAAUUCAUGGUGUAGCAGUGAAAUGCGUAGAUAUCAUGAGGAAGACCAGUGGCGAAGGCGGAUCUCUGGACAGUUCCUGACACUGAGGCACGAAGGCCAGGGGAGCAAACGGG